rnacentral:misc_RNA from 1 species
UCCGAGUUGACCCCGGCAGUCUCCUAUGAGUCCCCACCAUUACGUGCUGGCAACAUAGGACGAGGGUUGCGCUCGUUGCGGGACUUAACCCAACAUCUCACGACACGAGCUGACGACAGCCAUGCAGCACCUGUGCUAGAGUCCCGAAGGAGGCCUCCGCUUUCACGGAGGUUUCUCUAGCAUGUCAAGCCCAGGUAAGGUUCUUCGCGUUGCUUCGAAUUAAACCACAUGCUCCGCCGCUUGUUCGGGCCCCCGUCAAUUCCUUUGAGUUUUAGCCUUGCGGCCGUACUCCCCAGGCGGGGAACUUAAUGCGUUAGCUGCGGCACGGACCUCGUGGAAUGAGACCCACACCUAGUUCCCAACGUUUACGGCAUGGACUAC